CCUACGGGAGGCAGCAGUCGAGAAUCAUUCACAAUGGGGGAAACCCUGAUGGUGCGACGCCGCGUGGGGGAAUGAAGGUCUUCGGAUUGUAAACCCCUGUCAUGUGGGAGCAAAUUAAAAAGAUAGUACCACAAGAGGAAGAGACGGCUAACUCUGUGCCAGCAGCCGCGGUAAUACAGAGGUCUCAAGCGUGGUUCGGAAUCACUGGGCGUACAGCGUGCGUAGGCUGUUUCGUAAGUCGUGUGUGAAAGGCGCGGGCUCAACCCGCGGACGGCACAUGUUACUGCGAGACUAGAGUAAUGGAGGGGGAACCGGAAUUCUCGGUGUAGCAGUGAAAUGCGUAGAUAUCGAGAGGAACACUCGUGGCGAAGGCGGGUUCCUAGACAUUAACUGACGCUGAGGCACGAAGGCCAGGGGAGCGAAAGGGAUUAGAUACCCUGGUAGUC
rnacentral:rRNA from 1 species